AUUGAACGCUGGCGGCAUGCCUUACACAUGCAAGUCGAACGGUAACGGGCCUUCGGGUGCCGACGAGUGGCGAACGGGUGAGUAACACAUCGGAACGUGCCCGAUCGUGGGGGAUAACGGGGCGAAAGCUUGGCUAAUACCGCAUACGACCUACGGAUGAAAGCAGGGGACCGCAAGGCCUUGCGCGGACGGAGCGGCCGAUGGCAGAUUAGGUAGUUGGUGGGAUAAAAGCUUACCAAGCCGACGAUCUGUAGCUGGUCUGAGAGGAUGAUCAGCCACACUGGGACUGAGACACGGCCCAGACUCCUACGGGAGGCAGCAGUGGGGAAUUUUGGACAAUGGGCGCAAGCCUGAUCCAGCCAUGCCGCGUGCAGGAUGAAGGCCUUCGGGUUGUAAACUGCUUUUGUACGGAACGAAAAGCCUUCUUUUAAUACAGGAGGGUCAUGACGGUACCGUAAGAAUAAGCACCGGCUAACUACGUG
rnacentral:rRNA from 1 species